rnacentral:rRNA from 1 species
GAUGAACGCUGGCGGCGUGCCUAAUACAUGCAAGUCGAGCGAACGGACGAGAAGCUUGCUUCUCUGAUGUUAGCGGCGGACGGGUGAGUAACACGUGGAUAACCUACCUAUAAGACUGGGAUAACUUCGGGAAACCGGAGCUAAUACCGGAUGAUAUUUUGAACCGCAUGGUUCAAAAGUGAAAGACGGUCUUGCUGCCACUUAUAGAUGGAUCCGCGCUGCAUUAGCUAGUUGGUAAGGUAACGGCUUACCAAGGCAACGAUGCAUAGCCGACCUGAGAGGGUGAUCGGCCACACUGGAACUGAGACACGGUCCAGACUCCUACGGGAGGCAGCAGUAGGGAAUCUUCCGCAAUGGGCGAAAGCCUGACGGAGCAACGCCGCGUGAGUGAUGGAGGUCUUCGGAUCGUAAAACUCUGUUAUUAGGGAAGAACAUAUGUGUAAGUAACUGUGCACAUCUUGACGGUACCUAAUCAGAAAGCCACGGCUAACUACGUG